UACGUAGGGCGCGAGCGUUGUCCGGAUUUAUUGGGCGUAAAGAGCUCGUAGGCGGCUUGUCGCGUCGUCCGUGAAAACUUGGGGCUCAACCCCAAGCUUGCGGUCGAUACGGGCAGGCUAGAGUUCGGUAGGGGAGACUGGAAUUCCUGGUGUGAGCGGUGAAUGACGCAGAUAUCAGGAGGAACACCGGUGGCGAAGGCGGGUCUCUGGGCCGAUACUGACGCUGAGGAGCGAAAGCGUGGGGAGCGAACAGG
rnacentral:rRNA from 1 species